rnacentral:lncRNA from 1 species
CUCACUUGCAUAAGUUGAAAAAGGUUUUGCAAGAAGCCUCCAGUCCUGUCCCCCAGGAAGCAAAUAGCAGCACAGAUAACAAGCCGUACAAGUGCAGCAUCUGCAGUGUUGCGUACAGCCAAAGUUCUACCUUGGAGAUCCACAUGAGGUCAGUGCUCCACCAGACAAAGGCCAGGGCUGCAAAGCUGGAACCAAGUAGGCACCUAUCCAGUGGGCACAGCAUUACAGCUGCUGUCAAUAGUCCUGGCCAAGGGAUGUUAGAGUCCAUGAGCUUAGCUCCGGUCAACAGCAAAGAUACCCACUUAGAUGCCAAAGAAUUAAAUAAAAAGCAAACUCCCGAAAUAA